rnacentral:misc_RNA from 1 species
AACGCACAUUGCGCUCCCUGGUAUUCCGGGGAGCAUGCCCGUUUCAGAAUCAAUAAAAACCUCACCAAGCUCAUUGCUCUCGGGCAUUGGGCAUUGGCUGGAUUUGGAUAUUUUGCAUUUGCAAUUAUCUUAAAGUGAUUGUUUGUGCACCAAUUGAAAGUAUCUUUUGGUUGUUCAAGUGCAACAGAUUUAUCUAUUUCGCUUUGGCAACUGAUUGACGCCUUUGAUGCUCAGGCUUCAUACAUACUGUGGAGUUCAAAUCGGAAUGAUUUGGAUGUCCCAAAACCUUGAUCUGAAAUCGGGCAAGAAAACCCGCUGAACUUAA